rnacentral:tRNA from 1 species
GGAGAUGUAGCUCAGCAGUGCAGUGCCUGCCUGGCAAGCACGAGGCCCUGGGUUUGAUUCCCAGUACCA